UACGUAGGGUGCAAGCGUUGUCCGGAUUUAUUGGGCGUAAAGAGCUCGUAGGCGGUUUGUCGCGUCGGAUGUGAAAACCCAGGGCUCAACCCUGGGCCUGCAUUCGAUACGGGCAGACUAGAGUAUGGCAGGGGAGACUGGAAUUCCCGGUGUAGCGGUGAAAUGCGCAGAUAUCGGGAGGAACACCGGUGGCGAAGGCGGUUCUCUGGGCCUUACCUGACGCUGAGGAGCGAAAGCGUGGGGAGCGAACAGG
rnacentral:rRNA from 1 species